rnacentral:lncRNA from 1 species
UGACUCUCCCACUGGUCAAAAUGCACUCUACAGGAGUGACGCAAGUCAGUUUCAGAAGAUGCAACUUGCAGAAGGAGAAAUCAAGCAGGCUCUCACAGACUCAGUCACAAUGAUGUUUAAGGUACAGGAAACAGGAGCGUCUAUAAUUGUCGUAGCAAAGAGUUCACAGAACUGUCCUGGUCUGUGAACAAUACUGAGUAGCACUGGUCUUGAAAGGC